UCCCGUUGAUCCUGCGGGAGAUUGCUGCUAUUGGAAUUCGACUAAGCCAUGCAAGUUCUGGGGUUCUUCGGAACACCGGCAAAAGGCUCAGUAACACGUCGAUAAUCUGCCCUUAGGCCAAGGAUAACCUUGGGAAACUGAGGCUAAAACUUGAUAGGGGAAUUCUACUGGAAUGUGUUUUCCUUUAAACUUUAAAGCCUAAGGAUGAGUCGGCGGCCGAUUAGGUUGUUGGUGAGGUAAAGGCUCACCAAGCUUAUGAUCGGUACGGGCCCUGAGAGGGGUAGCCCGGAGAAGGUCACUGAGACACUGGACCUAGCCCUACGGGGUGCAGCAGGCGCGAAACCUUUACAAUGCACGAAAGUGUGAUAAGGGAAUUCCAAGUGCUCAUGCUUUGCAUGGGCUUUUGUCAAGAGUAAAUAUCUUGGCGAAUAAGUGGUGGGCAAGACUGGUGCCAGCCGCCGCGGUAACACCAGCGCCACAAGUGGGAAUCGUAUUUAUUGGGCCUAAAGCGUCCGUAGCCUGAUUGAUAAAUCUUUUGUGAAAUUGUUUAGCUCAACUAAACACCGUGCAGGAGACACUGUCAUUCUCGGGACCAGGAGGAGCUAGAAGUAUUCUUGGGGGAGCGGUAAAAUGUUAUAAUCCUAAGAAGACUACCUGUGGCGAAGGCGUCUAGCCAGAAUGGGUCCGACGGUGAGGGACGAAAGCUAGGGGAGCAAACCGGAUUAGAUACCCGUGUAGUCCUAGCUGUAAACGCUGCGAGUUAGGUGUUGUGCAUUCUCCGAGAAUGUGCAGUAUCGAAGCGAAGGCACUAAACUCGCCGCCUGGGAAGUAUGGUCGCAAGACUGAAACUUAAAGGAAUUGGCGGGGGAGCACCACAAGGGGUGCGGCGUGCGGUUUAAUCUAACUCUACACAGAGAACCUCACCAGAAGCGACGGCAGAAUGAAGGUCAGUCUAAAGGGCUUACCUGACGAGCCGAGAGGUAGUGCAUGGCCGUCGUCAGCUCGUGCUGUGAAGUGUCCUGUUAAGUCAGGCAACGAGCGAGACCUGUAUCUAUAAUUGCUAACGGAUUCUUUAGAAUGUCUGAGCACAUUAUAGGGACUGCCUUCGAAAGGAGGAGGAAGGUGCAGGCUACGAUAGGUCUGUAUGCUCCGAAUCUUCUGGGCUACACGCGCGCAACAAUGACAAGGACAAUGGGUCGCGACUCCGAAAGGAGAAGCUAAUCCUCGAAACCUUGCCUAAGUUCAGAUUGAGGUUUGCAACUCAGCCUCAUGACGCUGGAAUCCCUAGUAAUCGGACGUCAUCAGCGUCCGGUGAAUAUGUCCCUGCUCCUUGUACACACCGCCCGUCAAACCACUCGAGCAGGGUUUGGGUGAGCAUUAACCUUUUGGUUAAUUCGAAUCUAAACUCAGUAAGAUGGGUUAAGUCGUCACAAGGUA
rnacentral:rRNA from 1 species